rnacentral:lncRNA from 1 species
GCUGAGCUCUGAAAAAGUACAGUGAUGCAGAAGAGUGCUCUGUAUGUACUCGACCAGGGGACAUGCCUGAGGAGCACAUUAUGAUUUGCCACAGCAUGCUUGGGCUCACACUGCUGCUGCUGUCUCUGACGGCGAACCUCCACCUGGGCUUUGUUUGGGCAAAAAGUAUUGACCCAACAGAUGGUCCCAAAACUACAAAAUCCUCAGCCUCGUGCCCUCCUCCACCGGUGAUGGAAAAUGUACAGCCAUUCAAUGAAACACAGACACUCCAAGAGGGCUGCAUAUUGCGGUAUGCCUGCAAGAAGGGCUAUCUGAGAAAAGCAGGGACCUCCAACUAUUUUCAAUGUGUUAAUAAAAAUGGAACCCUGAAGUGGCGUCACGGAGAGUUUGCCUGCAUAAGUAUGUCAGAGACGAAGACAGUCGAAGUUCCUCAUAUAGAUUGUUCCAAAGCUAAGCCAAAAGCUCAAUCUACCACUAUGGAAACAAGCACAGUGCAACACUUGUCGCUAUCUACAAGAUCAGAACAAGAUAAAUUAAUUCAAAAUUUGGAUUUUUCAUGUGUAACAAUUGGAGUCUGCAGUGCGGCUGGACUCAUUCUCGGUCUCAGUAUUGGAGGAGCUGUACUGUGGCGCCAAAGACAACACUCAAAGAAGCGCCAAGGCGGACAUGGAGGUGUACACAUCACAGAGACACAGCCCAUAUCCCGUGUAGAAUGAACCAAGCUGAAUGAAGACAAACAAAUGUUUGGGUUUUGGAGUUUUAAAGGACCCAGAUCUUGAGGCUACGAUGUUAUAAUUGCUGUUAGAUACACAGCUUGUCUAUUAAACUGAAUGUCAAUUACCAAUACAUGUCAGCUGUAGUAGUAGCAUACAGAACAGAACUUUCAUAUAUGAGUUUGUAAGGCAACUUGACACAUCUAACUGGGUUUGAAAGAGGCCAGACAGUCAGUGCAUAAAUAACAGGAAAAACUGCACUACAAAAAUUAGACCAGGGGGUCAAUAUAGAAAAUUGUUACCAUGUACCAGCUUACAGCAAUGAAAACCGUAUCAAAAAGUUCUUCCAAUUUAUUUAUCAUAACCUGUUGUCUAAGGCAUGGGACAAGUGGUUCAGAAAAUGUGUGUGUGUGUGUGUGUGUGUGUGUGUGUGUGUGUUGUCUAAGGCAGCUUACAAUGUUAAUGUUGUAUAAAGUGCUUACAAAGUCACAAGAGAGCAAUCAGAUAAUAAUAAUGCAAUAUAAAAUAUUGUGCUACCGCAAGAUGAGUUACACUAGACAACCGUUGGUAUUAGACAAAAGACAGUGAUAAGCAAUGCCAGUGACAGGCAAAGUGAAGCCAUUAUCAAGUUGUGAUUCGUACCUGAUUCUGAGUGGAGUCUCGCUCCAUUCUUCAGUGUUACUAGGCGGAGAUUAGAUAGAUAAAUAGAUAGAUAGAUAGAUAGAUAGAUAGAUAGAUGGAUUUUUGAAAAAAUAUUUUGGGAAAAUGCAAAAUAAAAGCUUCUACAGUCUCUUUCGCUUGCA